AUUGAACGCUGGCGGCAGGCUUUAACACAUGCAAGUCGAACGGUAACAUAAGGAAGCUUGCUUCUUUGAUGACGAGUGGCGGACGGGUGAGUAAUGCUUGGGAAUCUAGCUUAUGGAGGGGGAUAACUACGGGAAACUGUAGCUAAUACCGCGUAAUAUCGAGAGAUUAAAGUGUGGGACCUUCGGGCCACAUGCCAUAGGAUGAGCCCAAGUGGGAUUAGGUAGUUGGUGAGGUAAAGGCUCACCAAGCCGACGAUCUCUAGCUGGUCUGAGAGGAUGACCAGCCACACUGGGACUGAGACACGGCCCAGACUCCUACGGGAGGCAGCAGUGGGGAAUAUUGCGCGAUGGGGGCAACCCUGACGCAGCCAUGCCGCGUGAAUGAAGAAGGCCUUCGGGUUGUAAAGUUCUUUCGGUAGCGAGGAAGGCACUUAGUUUAAUAGACUAGGUGAUUGACGUUAACUACAGAAGAGGCACCGGCUAACUCCGUG
rnacentral:rRNA from 1 species